rnacentral:rRNA from 1 species
CUACGGGGGGCUCCAGUGGGGAAUAUUGGACAAUGGGGGAAACCCUGAUCCAGCAAUGCCGCGUGUGUGAAGAAGGCCUGCGGGUUGUAAAGCACUUUCGGUUGGGAGGACUGCUUCUAGCACUAAUAUUGUUGGAAGUUGACGUUACCUUCAGAAGAAGCACCGGGUAACUCCGUGCCAGCAGCCGCGGUAAUACGGAGGGAGCAAGCGUUAAUCGGAAUUACUGGGCGUAAAGCGCGCGUAGGCGGCUAGAUCAGUCGGGUGUGAAAGCCCCGGGCUUAACCUGGGAACGGCAUCCGAUACUGUCUAGCUUGAGUACAGGAGAGGAGAGUGGAAUUCCACAUGUAGCGGUGAAAUGCGUAGAUAUGUGGAGGAACACCAAUGGCGAAGGCAGCUCUCUGGCCUGAUACUGACGCUGAGGUGCGAAAGCGUGGGGAGCAAACAGGAUUAGAUACCCCAGUAGUC